GUCCCUAUUCUGACGUCACAAUGUCACAUCCUCUAUUCAUCCUCGUCCUCUGUUUUGUCUCAUUAACUAUCAUAUUACCACGUGUGUCAGCCUCACCUUUAUAUCAUCUCAAUGCACUAUCACUGAGCGAGCCUGAUAGAACACAGUUUGAAGUCGAAACAAGGGGCCAUCAACCAGAAAGGAGAAAUCCUUUAUUAUCAGGUAAAUCUCGUAUGUGCUUCGCUUCUGCUAGUCUUGUUUGCGUGUGUGAUUUACAAGGACGGCUUAAGGGAUGUUUCAGGGGACCUUCGGCUGUGAUGGCCAUCCGAGGGAUCGGUGUAUGAUCAGGACUCUACAAUCAACACUUAUCUACUGAAUUCUCUAAUUCCAAAAGGCUUCACGAAUGGGACAAUGGGUUCCUUUACGGAACGGGUCGAUAACUCAAUGACAAUAUCGAGCUUUUAUAAUGCACAUUGUGAUUUCCCGAGGUUAACCCGACAUAUCACCACAUGUGGAAUACGGGAUAUCAUCUAGUAUACCACAUCCAGCGAAUACAUGCACACUCACGUUGAAGAAUCAACUAUAUUUUUGAAGGAUCUGAUUGGACGUAAAGAUGAAUGGAUAUAGAUGAAACGGUUUACAAUGAACUGUCUGUAUGGCUAUAAUCAUGAUGAUACUACUGUAAUAAAAUUAUCAUAAGACUCAUUUAAAACAAGAUUUUAUGCCAAAGCACGACUUUAUUUGGUUUUUAUUGAAUUUUUGCUUUUUAAUUGUUUUCCCCCCUUUUUAGGGGAGGGGCUUUAGGCCUAUUUCGGCAAUUUUAAGCGUACAUUAAUUUUUUAAUAUUUUGGGGAUUAGAAACAUAAUCAUUAUCGAUCUGUUAUACUGAAGUCCUCCAAUACGGGUAUGAUUUUGAGUUACCCUUGUUUGUGUGUCUUCGCAGUCGCCAAGCAAGAAUAUCUAUAAUUAAAUUAAACAGGCUAAUAAAAUAGAAACUAGAAUGUUCUCUCAACAAAUCGAAUUAAUAACUUUCUCCCCCGGGGAUGAGUAGAUUUUACUCCACUGACUUUCAAUUGUUAUUGAGUGAAUUUUACCCUUUUUGAAGUGAGAUCUGUGUUAAACGUUCGUAUGUUCACUCUUAAUUCACUCCAAAUUGAGUAAUCAUUGACGUCACUACCAAAGGGAAUAAAAGGCGAGUGAAAUAUUCACAUAUUAUCUUUUUGAGCAAGUACCUAGAUUUAAAACUAUUUCAUAUUCAAAUCAUGUCUUAACACUCCAUUAUCAUAACAGUGACUCGCAGCUAGAAAAGUGGUUUUAUUGGUUAUUUCAUUAUCCGUUAUUUUGUGUAUUAUCUGAUAAUUACAUAUUUCGUAUCGUAUCUUUCUUUUUUCCCCCGAAAGUCACUCCAGUAUUCACACACGGGUGGCCGAUUUCGAAUAAACUCUAUUUAUAAAUCAA